rnacentral:misc_RNA from 1 species
AGCAAGCCAAAGCUUCAGAAGUGAUGGGACCAGUGGAGGCCGCGCCUGAAUACCGCGUCAUCGUGGAUGCCAACAACCUGACCGUGGAGAUCGAAAACGAGCUGAACAUCAUCCAUAAGUUCAUCCGGGAUAAGUACUCAAAGAGAUUCCCUGAACUGGAGUCCUUGGUCCCCAAUGCACUGGAUUACAUCCGCACGGUCAAGGAGCUGGGCAACAGCCUGGACAAGUGCAAGAACAAUGAGAACCUGCAGCAGAUCCUCACCAAUGCCACCAUCAUGGUCGUCAGCGUCACCGCCUCCACCACCCAGGGGCAGCAGCUGUCGGAGGAGGAGCUGGAGCGGCUGGAGGAGGCCUGCGACAUGGCGCUGGAGCUGAACGCCUCCAAGCACCGCAUCUACGAGUAUGUGGAGUCCCGGAUGUCCUUCAUCGCACCCAACCUGUCCAUCAUUAUCGGGGCAUCCACGGCCGCCAAGAUCAUGGGUGUGGCCGGCGGCCUGACCAACCUCUCCAAGAUGCCCGCCUGCAACAUCAUGCUGCUCGGGGCCCAGCGCAAGACGCUGUCGGGCUUCUCGUCUACCUCAGUGCUGCCCCACACCGGCUACAUCUACCACAGUGACAUCGUGCAGUCCCUGCCACCGAUUCCACCCCCGUUUUCCGUUGCUCCAGGAUCUGCGGCGGAAAGCGGCCCGGCUGGUGGCCGCCAAGUGCACACUGGCAGCCCGUGUGGACAGUUUCCACGAGAGCACAGAAGGGAAGGUGGGCUACGAACUGAAGGAUGAGAUCGAGCGCAAAUUCGACAAGUGGCAGGAGCCGCCGCCUGUGAAGCAGGUGAAGCCGCUGCCUGCGCCCCUGGAUGGACAGCGGAAGAAGCGAGGCGGCCG